rnacentral:rRNA from 1 species
UACGGGGGGGGGCAAGCGUUGUUCGGAAUUACUGGGCGUAAAGGGCUCGUAGGUGGCCAACUAAGUCAAUCGUGAAAUCCCUCAGCUUAACUGGGGAACUGCGUCCGAUACUGGAUGGCUUGGAUUUGGGAGAGGGAUGCGGAAUUCCAGGUGUAGCGGUGAAAUGCGUAGAUAUCUGGAGGAACACCGGUGGCGAAGGCGGCAUCCUGGACCAAUAUUGACGCUGAGGAGCGAAAGCCAGGGGAGCAAACGGG